CCUACGGGAGGCAGCAGUGGGGAAUCUUGCGCAAUGGGCGAAAGCCUGACGCAGCAACGCCGCGUGCGGGAAGAAGGCUCUCGGGUUGUAAACCGCUUUCAGCAGGAACGAAAAUGACGGUACUUGCAGAAGAAGGUGCGGCCAACUACGUGCCAGCAGCCGCGGUGACACGUAGGCACCAAGCGUUGUCCGGAUUUAUUGGGCGUAAAGAGCUCGUAGGCGGUUCGGUAAGUCAGGUGUGAAAACUUUGGGCUCAACCCAAAGCCUGCAUCUGAUACUGCUGUGACUAGAGUUCGGUAGGGGAGCGGGGAAUUCCUAGUGUAGCGGUGAAAUGCGCAGAUAUUAGGAGGAACACCGGUGGCGAAGGCGCCGCUCUGGGCCGAAACUGACGCUGAGGAGCGAAAGCGUGGGUAGCAAACAGGAUUAGAUACCCUGGUAGUCCACGCCGUAAACGUUGGGCACUAGGUGUGGGUUUCAACCAACGAAAUCCGCGCCGUCGCUAACGCAUUAAGUGCCCGCCUGGGGAGUCGCCGCAGUUAAACUAAGAAUUGAG
rnacentral:rRNA from 1 species